UACGUAGGGGGCAAGCGUUGUCCGGAUUUAUUGGGCGUAAAGAGCGUGUAGGCGGCCAGGUAGGUCUGCUGUGAAAACUCGAGGCUUAACCUCGAGCUGUCGGCGGAAACCAUCUGGCUAGAGUCCGGAAGAGGAGAAUGGAAUUCCCGGUGUAGCGGUGAAAUGCGUAGAUAUCGAGAGGAACACCUGCGGCGAAGGCGGGGUUGCUGGGGCUGAAUACUGACGCUGAGGCGCGAAAGCUAGGGGAGCGAACGGG
rnacentral:rRNA from 1 species